rnacentral:pre_miRNA from 1 species
AAAGACUGAAUUCUUCGGUUUUCGUGUCCAACGUUUGACCGUCCGUCUUAUAUGAAAAUUUUUAUGAUUAGUAUUUUUAUUAUUGUUAGAUGAUAAAAUAUGAAUAAUACUUUAUGUAUAACUUAUCUUUUUAAAUUUUUUAUAAUUUUUUAAAUAAGAUGAACGGUCAAAAGUUAGACACGGAAAUCUAGG